rnacentral:lncRNA from 1 species
GGUCUCAUCAAUUUCAUUUAUUUAAUCACAAUCAAAUAAAUAAUGUCCUAUUACAACUACUAGUCCAAAGUUAAUGAAAUUAGUAGCAUAUAAUAUCCCCACUAUUCGUUUUUCAAAAAAAAACAAAUCAAUAUCAAAACAUUUUUCAAAAUAUUGGAGAUAUAUAUAACUACUAAUUGUAUUCAUUAUAAUUUAGUAGCGUAUGAUACUCCCACUAUUUGUUUUGAGAAAAACAAAUCAAUAUCAAAAACGAAUUUUUCAAAUAUUGGAAGUAACUACUACUACUACGGUUUUUGCAUUCCUUUGAAAUUGGACUUUAUAGUUAUCUUAGGCUCUUGGAUGACUAUGGACUUAUUAGGUUAUUGCAACAACGAGCCAACAUUGUUGAAUAAAAACUCGGGGAGGUUGUGUCAAUUUAAUUACGUGCUUAUCAAUUCAAUUAAAACCAUUUUCAUUGAGCCAUUAGAAAUGAAAGACAAUCAUUCAUUGCUAAUUAGGGCGUUGGACCCAUUUAAUCUUUAAUCUCAUGUCAAAACCCUUCUUUUAGUUAUGUCUCCUUACCAAUAGUUAAAGAAACUCUAGUCUAGCACUAGAGGGAAUCAACUAAUGAAUAGAGAUUAAGAAGUAAUAAGAAUUACAAACCGAUUUGUACAAAUUCCUAUAAAUUACAUAUACUAAAAGGAGAGAGAUAGAUUAACGUCAAACGUGACAAGGUCCAAUUAAACAGUAAUUAAAACACAUUCCCAAGGUUCAAACAAUUUGAUUUUAGCGCCUUAUCUCAUAGCUCAAUUAUCGUUUAAGGCAUAAGUCCAAAGUCAUCCAUUUCACAACUAUUUAACCACAUUUAAAUAAUUAAAUGGAAUGCAACAUAAACAUUUAGAUUUAGUGCAUAUGGGCAUAAUAUAAAUAUGAGUUUAAAUAACUAACAAAAUUAAAAUCAAAUAUUUUAACUUUCUAGUUAGUAGGGGCCUAAUUGCAAAUAAGAAAAAGUUAGGGGUCAAACCAUAAAUACUCAAAAGUAUAAAAUGUCUUUUUCUAAAUUACAAAAUACCCCACAAGUGGGUAUUUUGAUAGGGUAGGCCGGCCAUAUAUUGUGGGGAUGGAAGGUCUCACUUAUCUUGCUUUAAAUCAUUUCAAAGUAGGAAUAACAAAUUUUAUUUGUCACUUGUCUAUGCUUUAAGGACUUUAAUGAAACAAAAUGAUGGAAAUUCACCUAAUAAAGAUUAGGAUUUAAUAUAUUUUUGAGAUGGCUAUGGAUGGUAUGUACAUCAUCCAAAACCACAAAACAAUGCAUGAAAACCAUUUUCAUCAAAUCCAAACCAUGAACACCAAGAACAAAACCAUGAACACAUUUUCAAGAUUUAUAUGUUCUUGGUGAUUUUUCAAACCCAAAAACAAAAGUGACAAGAUUUCUACUUUCUAACUUUAAAUUGUGUGUGUGAUUCAAAAUAAAAACACAAACACUAAGCCAAAACCAUGCCAACCCCAAGUAACAAAACCCCAAAUUUGUUCAUGACUUAUUCUUCAUUCAUGCAUACAAAACAACUUUUACAUGCAUAUCUUUUUCAACUCUUGAUUUAUAUUUUUUUCAACCAUUGAAAAACAAAAGAUAAACAUACUUUUAAAUGAAGAAAUAAUAUGUCAUACUAGUUCUAAACUCAUUUUUCAUUCAUGCAUACAAAACAUUUUGCAUACAUAUCUUUCUCAACUUUUGACUAAUCAUUUUUCAACUAUUGAAAAACAAAAGAUAAACAUACUUUGAAUGGAAAAGUAAUAUGUCAUACAUAACAUUAAUACCCAUAUGCAUAAAAUCCAAAAGGACACAUUAUACAUAAACCUUUGGCUCUGAUACCAAUUGAAGGGAAAUUUAUGAGUUUCAUGUGGGAUUUCUAGAUGACUAGCAUGCAUAUACAAUUUAAAAUUUAUAUACAUGAGCAACGGAAGCAUGUUAUCAAAUAAAAUCAAAGCUAUAGUCAUGCAAAUCCCCUUCAAGGUUCAUAGGUUUAUAUAUAAUGCAUCAAAACAUUUUAAAGAAUCAAGAACAAAGUCAAGGAAUAGAUCUAUACCUCUUGAUCUUGAUUUUAGACCAAGGAUGGACCACCUCCAAGCUCUUUGCUCCUUGAAAUCCUUGAGCCUAGCUUCCCUCCUUGCCUCCUCCACUUUGAAAGAAUGAGUGCUCCUAGGUUCUCUUCAAGUUUCCAAAGUAGGAAACCUCUAAAGAUCCUCACCCACUAGUGUAAUGAGAAGGAUGAAGGAAUAACCAAAAGGGUGAAAGAUUGUUAGCUAUUUUUCCCUUAAGGUGGCCGGCCCUUGUGAGUAUUUGAGAGAGUUUUUCUUUAGCCUCUUUGUAGUUCUAAACACACAAAAAACCCACUUGAAACAUUUGCUAUAAAGUUCCUUUUAUAGACAAAAGAAACCUAGUCAACAACUUGACUAUUCUUCUCUCCUAAACACCUAAAGUGGCCGGCCCUUGUAGUGUUGUUUGGGCUUUGGGCUUUUAUUAUUUCAAGUCAUCCAAUGCUUGAAUGAAAGCCCAAUGGGCCCAAUUAAACCCGAACGUUUCUUUAAGCCCAAAACGAUCUUUAUCGCUUUUAUGAUUUCUUU